rnacentral:rRNA from 1 species
AGCGAACGCUGGCGGCAGGCCUAACACAUGCAAGUCGAACGAACCUUUCGGGGUUAGUGGCGGACGGGUGAGUAACACGUGGGAACGUGCCUUUAGGUUCGGAAUAACUCAGGGAAACUUGUGCUAAUACCGAAUGUGCCCUUCGGGGGAAAGAUUUAUCGCCUUUAGAGCGGCCCGCGUCUGAUUAGCUAGUUGGUUGAGGUAAUGGCUCACCAAGGCGACGAUCAGUAGCUGGUCUGAGAGGAUGAUCAGCCACAUUGGGACUGAGACACGGCCCAAACUCCUACGGGAGGCAGCAGUGGGGAAUCUUGCGCAAUGGGCGAAAGCCUGACGCAGCCAUGCCGCGUGAAUGAGGAAGGUCUUAGGAUUGUAAAAUUCUUUCACCGGAGACGAUAAUGACGGUACCCGGAGAAGAAGCCCCGGCUAACUUCGUG